rnacentral:lncRNA from 1 species
UUGUUUUUUUUGUGUAUUUUCAGUGUUGUUGUGAUAUUUCGUUUUUGAGGAAAUAUUCUAGAUUUGGUUAUUUCCUGUUCUAUCAAUGCUAAUUUGGGAGAUGCCUAAUUUGGCAAGUACUAUGUUAUAAGUGAAUAUGUUGAUAUUUCGAAUUGAAUUGUGGGAGUUUUGCCCAUAGGACCAUAUGCUUAUGAUAGAUGAUUUUAGGGUAGAAUAAUCCAUUGAAUCGAUUGUUAUCAUUGUUUUUAUCAUUUGAGCAAGUUUGCAAAAAGGGUUGUUUUGUGAUAAGGUGGC